rnacentral:rRNA from 1 species
GGGGAAUAUUGCGCAAUGGGCGAAAGCCUGACGCAGCAACGCCGUGUGAGGGAUGAAGGCUUUCGGGUCGUAAACCUCUGUCGGAAGGGAAGAACGGGCAUUGGUCUAAUAGGCCUUUGUUUUGACGGUACCUUUAGAGGAAGCACCGGCUAACUCCGUGCCAGCAGCCGCGGUAAUACGGAGGGUGCAAGCGUUAUUCGGAAUUACUGGGCGUAAAGCGCACGUAGGCCGCUUUGUAAGUCAGGGGUGAAAUCCCACGGCUCAACCGUGGAACUGCCUUUGAAACUGCAGAGCUUGAAUCCUGGAGAGGGUGGCGGAAUUCCUGGUGUAGGAGUGAAAUCCGUAGAUAUCAGGAGGAACACCGGUGGCGAAGGCGGCCACCUGGACAGGUAUUGACGCUGAGGUGCGAAAGUGUGGGGAGCAAAC